CCUACGGGUGGCUGCAGUGGGGAAUAUUGGACAAUGGGGGCAACCCUGAUCCAGCCAUGCCGCGUGUGUGAAGAAGGCCCUCGGGUUGUAAAGCACUUUCAGUGAGGAAGAACGCCUGGUGGUUAAUACCCAUCAGGAAAGACAUCACUCACAGAAGAAGCACCGGCUAACUCCGUGCCAGCAGCCGCGGUAAUACGGAGGGUGCGAGCGUUAAUCGGAAUUACUGGGCGUAAAGCGCGCAUAGGUGGCUUGAUAAGCCGGUUGUGAAAGCCCCGGGCUCAACCUGGGAACGGCAUCCGGAACUGUCAAGCUAGAGUGCAGGAGAGGAAGGUAGAAUUCCCGGUGUAGCGGUGAAAUGCGUAGAGAUCGGGAGGAAUACCAGUGGCGAAGGCGGCCUUCUGGACUGACACUGACACUGAGGUGCGAAAGCGUGGGUAGCAAACAGGAUUAGAUACCCUAGUAGUC
rnacentral:rRNA from 1 species